GUCUACGGCCAUACCACCCUGAACGCGCCCGAUCUCGUCUGAUCUCGGAAGCUAAGCAGGGUCGGGCCUGGUUAGUACUUGGAAGGGAGACAGUGAUUACUCGCUCUCACACUCC
rnacentral:rRNA from 2 species